rnacentral:rRNA from 1 species
AUAUCAAUAAGCGGAGGAAAAGAAACCAACAGGGAUUACCCUAGUAACGGCGAGUGAAGCGGUAACAGCUCAAAUUUGAAAUCUGGCCUUCACGGGUCCGAGUUGUAAUUUGUAGAGGAUGUUUCGGGCAAGGCUCUGGUUUAAAUUUCUUGGAACAGAAUGUCAUAGAGGGUGAGAGUCCCGUCUAGAACCGAUGGCCGCGUCCAUGUGAAACUCCUUCGACGAGUCGAGUUGUUUGGGAAUGCAGCUCAAAAUGGGUGGUAAAUUUCAUCUAAAGCUAAAUAUUGGCCAGAGACCGAUAGCGCACAAGUAGAGUGAUCGAAAGAUGAAAAGCACUUUGAAAAGAGAGUUAAACAGUAU